rnacentral:rRNA from 1 species
AUUGAACGCUGGCGGCAUGCUUUACACAUGCAAGUCGAACGGCAGCGCGGGGGCAACCCUGGCGGCGAGUGGCGAACGGGUGAGUAAUGUAUCGGAACGUAUCCUGUAAUGGGGGAUAACCAGUCGAAAGAUUGGGUAAUACCGCAUACGCACGAGAGUGGAAAGUAGGGGAUCGCAAGACCUUACGUUAUAGGAGCGGCCGAUAUCUGAUUAGCUAGUUGGUGGGGUAAAGGCCUACCAAGGCGACGAUCAGUAGCUGGUCUGAGAGGACGACCAGCCACACUGGGACUGAGACACGGCCCAGACUCCUACGGGAGGCAGCAGUGGGGAAUUUUGGACAAUGGGCGAAAGCCUGAUCCAGCCAUGCCGCGUGCAGGAAGAAGGCCUUCGGGUUGUAAACUGCUUUAGUCUAGGAAAAAGGGGUGCGAGGUUAAUACCCUCGUGCUUUGAUGGUACUGGAAGAAUAAGCACCGGCUAACUACGUGCCAGCAGCCGCGGUAAAACGAGAGUA